rnacentral:rRNA from 1 species
GAUCCUGGCUCAGAACGAACGCUGGCGGCGUGCCUAACACAUGCAAGUCGAGCGCGAAUAGGGGCAACCCUUAGUAGAGCGGCGCACGGGUGCGUAACACGUGGGUAAUCUGCCUGGAAGCUCGGGAUAACUAGCCGAAAGGUUAGCUAAUACCGGGAUAAGCCCCCGGGGACUUCGGUCCUUGAGGGAAAAGAUGGCCUCUGUAUACAAGCUAUCACUACCAGAUGAGCCCGCGGCCCAUCAGCUAGUUGGCGGGGUAAUGGCCCACCAAGGCAACGACGGGUAGCUGGUCUGAGAGGACGAUCAGCCACACUGGAACUGAGACACGGUCCAGACUCCUACGGGAGGCAGCAGUGGGGAAUUUUGCGCAAUGGGCGAAAGCCUGACGCAGCAACGCCGCGUGUGUGAUGAAGGUCUUCGGAUUGUAAAGCACUUUCGACCGGGACGAAACUCCUCCACCUAAUACGUGGGGGCCUGACGGUACCGGGAGAAGAAGCACCGGCUAACUCUGUGCCAGCAGCCGCGGUAA